UAAAACUAUUUUUAUGAAAUAAUAAAAUAAAAAAAAUAUAAUAAAUACUCGACUCAAAACCCUAUUUAUAAAUAAGGACAUAUUAGGUCAUUUAUUAUAAUUAUGAUAUGUCCCUAGUACGUAAAUAGUAAAAUUGAGACUUCAAUUUUUUUUUCUUCUAACGCUUGAAAAUCCUAGUAGAGCAAUCAGAGGAAAAAUUUGAGUAAUCUUGGGAAACUGCUAGAGACAUUAUUAUCGCUGUCGUAUUACACACGUGAGCCCCGCUUAGAGUUUGUAGGCCAAAGAAGUAAAUGUGCAAAAAGUUGUUGAUGAACUCGCUUAGUGAGGCAGAUUGGCUAAGCGAGCCUCAUCCGCUUAGCGAGGCAGUCAGCUCGCUUAACGGAUGCAAAACCUCAGAAGAUGAUAAGUCAGAGAUCAGCACGCUCAGCGCACAGCCAGCCCGCUCAGCGAGGACAUUGUCUCUUCUCACGCUUAGCAUGUCCAAACUGGCUUAGCAGGUUUUCACUUACUCUCGCUCAGCAAGACAUGCUCGCUGAGCAAGCCUUCGUGUGCUGAGAAGUCCAAGAGUCUUUAAAACACUGAGAUUGGUGGAAACAAAAGGGCAUGAGCACCACAACCAGAGGCUAGCCAAGCAUUUGCUUCAUGAAAAACAUAGAGAAAUAGGGCUGAGAGGCUGGAGAAGACAUUCUUCUUCAUCUUCUUCCAUUUUCUUUCACCAAAAACAUUUCUUUCUUUGUUGUUUUGAAGCUUUACUCGUAAUGGAAGGCUAGAACUUCUUUGUUGGGGAGCAGGCUACUGAAACUCUUGAUGUAAUGUUCUAAAUAUCUAUUUAAUGUUAUUUUAUGGUGUUCUUUGCUUUUA